rnacentral:sRNA from 1 species
GCCAGGUGUGAUGGUGCAUGCCUGUAAUCCCAGCAGCUCAGGAGGUUGAGGUAGGAGGAUUGCAAGUUUGAGGCCAGCAUCAGCAAUUUAGUGAGGCCCUAAGCAACUCAGUGAGACCCUGUCUCUA